UACGUAGGGGGCUAGCGUUGUCCGGAUUUAUUGGGCGUAAAGCGCGUGUAGGCGGCUCGGUAAGUCCGGUGUGAAACCUUGGGGCUCAACCCCAAGCCUGCACUGGAUACUGUCGAGCUUGAGUCCGGGAGGGGAGAGCGGAAUUCCUAGUGUAGCGGUGAAAUGCGCAGAUAUUAGGAAGAACACCGGUGGCGAAGGCGGCUCUCUGGAACGGUACUGACGCUGAGACGCGAAAGCGUGGGGAGCGAACAGG
rnacentral:rRNA from 1 species